CAGACUAAUACAGGCUCGGAACAGUGCCUGUUGCUCAGACACUGCUCAGUGUCCUCUUUACCCGUGUCCCUGCCGGAGGUGCAGAGUGGCUGGGUCAUGCUCCCUGCACUCUGGAGAGAGACAGACACAAUCAUGUUCCAUGGUAGGGUGUCCCUCCAUUCACAAGCCCAUCACAAAACAGAAUUGUCUGCUCACUUCCUAAGUCCUGACUGACUUCUUUAAAUUGGGCCAGGUAACAGAAAGGUAACUACUUUUGCAAGAGUCAGAGCAGGUCGCGGCCAGGACUGUCAGGCAUCUCGCUGAACCUAACUGGAAGAAGAGCAAGGGGGAUUGUCAUAUGGCCACAUCCGCUGUGAUUCAACUCAUUGCCAGCAGGAUAAUGAAUUCAAGAAUCAGCUUCUGAAAUGAACCCUUGAUCAAGAGGGAGGCAGUAAUUGUGCUGGUUAUUAGCGAUUACUCCUGGAUGGGGGUUAGGGGUGUGAGCAAUAGAAUUAAAUGAAAUUCCUUUGAAAGUUCUGCUGUGCAAAGUAAGAGAUAUAAACGCUACAUUAUGUGUUUAAAAUGCCUCCAGGGUUUGGUUUAUAGACUUGUUUAUAUUUAUAUAUUUAUUUGAAUGUUUAUGACUUUCUCUCUGUCAUUUUCACAUUGGUAUCUUCAUACUCAUCAUGGUUUUAUGGCCUCUUUUUGGAAACCAGUGGCUGCAUAUACCGGCACAUGAUUUGAUGAGAGAAGAAGAUUCAGAAAGAGAAAACGAGUUUAAUAUUAUACUUGGGAGGAAGAGCCUUCCCUUGGGAGAGAUCAUUUCAAACAGGGAACUGGAGCUUCUCGGUAAUCUAUUCUGAUGGGUAAAAUGAGACAGAGAUAACCUACGUGGGCACAGACACGCUAACAGUCGGGGCUGGCUGGCUCCAUUUUGACUAGAAGGCCCUUGAGGAGAGCGAUUACCUUCGAUGAUCUGGAUGGGCCUGAUAUAAUCAGUUGAAAAGCCUGAAAAGUAGCACCAAAGCUUUCUUGAGAAAAUAGAAAUUCUGCAUGUGAACAAUAGCUUCAGCUUUUGCCCAAGAGUUCCAGCUGCCCUUCCUGAUGGGAACACGCACACCUGCCAUGGUAGGAAGACUCUUGUCUCCCAGAGACACCCAAACCAACAUAGCC
rnacentral:lncRNA from 1 species